rnacentral:rRNA from 1 species
GAGCGGCGGACGGGUUAAUAAUACUUAGGAAUCUACCUAGUAGUGGGGGAUAGCUCGGGGAAACUCGAAUUAAUACCGCAUACGACCUACGGGAGAAAGGGGGCAACUUGUUGCUCUCGCUAUUAGAUGAGCCUAAGUCGGAUUAACUAGAUGGUGGGGUAAAGGCCUACCAUGGCGACGAUCUGUAGCUGGUCUGAGAGGAUGAUCAGCCACACCGGGACUGAGACACGGCCCGGACUCCUACGGGAGGCAGCAGUGGGGAAUAUUGGACAAUGGGGGCAACCCUGAUCCACCCAUGCCGCGUGUGUGAAGAAAGCCUUUUGGUUGUAAAGCACUUUAAGCAGUGAAGAAGACUCUAUGGUUAAUACCCCUAGACGAUGACAUUAUCUGCAGAAUAAGCACCGGCUAACUCUGUGCCAGCAGCCGCGGUAAUACAAAAGGUGCAAGCGUUAAUCCGAAUUACUGGGCGUUAAAGGAGCGUUAGGUUGCUUUGAUUAGUCCCAUUGUGAAAUCCCCCGGCUUAAACCUGGGGGACAGCAUUUUGAUUACUUGUUUAGGCUUACAAUUAAGUUGAGAAGGAAAGGUAGAAAUUCCCCGGUGUUUCGGUGAAA